rnacentral:rRNA from 1 species
UACAGAGGGUGCGAGCGUUGUCCGGAAUUACUGGGCGUAAAGGGCGCGUAGGCGGCCUUCUAAGUCGAACGUGAAAUCCCUGGGCUCAACCCAGGAACUGCGUCCGAUACUGAAAGGCUUGAAUCCGGGAGAGGGAUGCGGAAUUCCAGGUGUAGCGGUGAAAUGCGCAGAUAUCAGGAGGAACACCGAAGGCGAAGGCAGGUCUCUGGGCCGAUACUGACGCUGAGGAGCGAAAGCGUGGGGAGCGAACAGG